AGGUUGUGCUGUUUUUUGUUUUUUCAGUUGACACCGUAAUUAACUAGCAUGUGGUUAAUCGAAUGUCUGUGUCAUGUGUCAGGGAAAAAAGUGUCAAUGCAUAUGCUACUUAAGUGCCUUUUAAAAACGAACAAAAAUGGGAGCAGAGAAAGCUAAAGGUCCAGGGAGUAGGAUGGAAAGGUGGCCUUGAAGUAGGGAAGAACAAAUCUGACUCCACGUUGCACUGGUUUCUUUUACUUUAUCCUUUGGAUUCAAUUGCUUUUGCUACAAGAUAAGAAUGUUGCCUAUAGCCUGAAAUACACAGGGUAGCCCAUUCUCAAAGCUCUGACCUUUAAAGGUGUAAUGCUCAUUGAUCUAGAGAUCAAAAGUUGUAGAAUUGAGAAUAACGUCUGUCUUGUUGGAGGUUUCUAGGAUCAUCAUGACUGGACCAAUACAAACAGUGGCAACAGCAAAGGAUUCCAACACCAAGACGUUUACAACAACCAACCACGCUCCCUCCGCUUUCAGUAUAAAAGAAAUCCGAACUCUGACUUGGGUAAGAUGGUGCUUUGGGACACUAGUCCAUCAUCUUCUCAGUCUGCUGGUUUUCCAAAUAAAGUCACUCUUCCUUGCCCCCACCACUCAUCUCCUGACUUAUUGGCCUGUAGUGGGUGAGUCGUAUGAGCCUGGACUAUGUCACAGCCUCAGCCAGGUGAGGCAGUGUGUGCAGGUGAGAUCCAUUCCAAGGAAGAUGGGGCGGAAAGCUUAAUAGCACCUGGUGGGGAACAGGAACACAGUUGAGAAACCAGAAAAAGCCAAUAAAAUGUCAGAGUAUCUGCAGCAUAGAGGAAACUGAAUCUGGAGUGCCAAGUGUGAAUUUGAGGGGGUGAUGUGAAUUGCAUUGGCAAGAGCAUUUGAGCUGCUCAGCGGGGAGAGCUGCAGCUGUGGCUGGUAGAACAGACCAUCCUUCCUGUUCCUGCGCAGCCUGGGACGCAAAAGACUUCUCCCGCCAACCUCUCAGCCCGACCACCGCCCUGCCGGCACUUGCCCUGGGCCCCAGUCAAGCGCAUGCGCAUCAGGCUGCCAGUCAGAACCACUGCCCCGGUCCUUCCGCAUCCGGCAUGUGGCCUGCCCAGAGAUGAUGUAGUGCAACUCUCUGCAAACUGUGAAGUGCUGUACAGCAUGCAAAAGGAUGACCCGAGCGGGGCCCGGGAUCUUGAUGGUUUCCUUGACCCGAGUUGCUUUUCUGUCUUUUGUUUAAGAGUAAAUGCGGGUCUGUGUGAAAAAGCCAACCCCUUCUCCCUGUUCUUUUUCUCUCUCCUUUUUAGAAAGAUGGGCCCCGGUGGUGCUUGUAGUAAAGAAUCUGCCUGCAAUGCAGGAAACGCGAGAGAUGGGGGUUGGGUCCCUGUGCUGGGAAGAUCCCCUGGAGUAGGAAAUGGCCACCCACUCCAGUAUUCUUGCCUGGAGAAUCCCAUAGACAGAAGAGCCUGGCGGGCUAUAGUCCAUAGGGUCACAGAGUCAGAUAAGACUGAGUGACUUAGCUCAGAAAGACAUUAGAAAGAUGAUUAAUUAACGUUAAAUUAGCCAGGGAUGGGGGAACCUGGUGGGCUGCUGUCUAUGGGGUCGCACAGAGUUGGACACGACUGAAGUGACUUAGCAGCAGCAGCUAAGGUGCAAAAUAAUCCGAUGUGAACUUUAACCUUAAAGAAAUAACACACGCCUGAGUUACAAGCUGGAAAGGACCUGGUCGAAGAACCACUAGAAUCAUCUCGAGUUUUGGGGGCUUCGCUUGUGGACAGAGGCUGCUCUGAUGCUCCAGGAGGUCCUGGUAAGGAGCACGGAACUAAUAAGCUGCCACCACCAACCGGAAGAGUCCAGGAAAGGCCAAAAGGUGACAUCACGUGUCCAACCACCUCCUAGAAUCCUUCUCGCUGGCGUCCAUCUUGGCUGAACAGGGCGUGCACCACCAGGAAGGACUCUGAGUCAGAAUGAUUGGCCAAAGACAACCUGAAACUAUUCCCAUCACCAUAAAACCUGAGAGUGCGAGCCACGUAGCAGAGCUGUUCUCCUGAGUUCCCUUAACCUGCUGAUCUCUGCCUGGGUGCCCCUUCCCAAUAAAAUCUCUUGCUUUC